rnacentral:rRNA from 1 species
AGGACGAACGCUGGCGGCGUGCUUAACACAUGCAAGUCAAGGGGGCCCAGCAAUGGGCAACCGGCGAACGGGUGCGUAACACGUGAGCAACCUACCGAAAUGUGGGGGAUAGCCGGCCUAACGGCCGAGUAAUACCGCAUACGCUCUCGAUGAGGCAUUUCAUUGAGAGGAAACCUACGGGACAUUUCGAGGGGUCUCGCGGCCUAUCAGCUAGUUGCGAGGUAACGGCUCACCGAAGGCAACGCGGUA